CCUACGGGCGGCAGCAGUGGGGAAUAUUGGACAAUGGGGGGAACCCUGAUCCAGCCAUGCCGCGUGUGUGAAGAAGGCCCUCGGGUUGUAAAGCACUUUCAGUGAGGAAGAACGCCUGGUGGUUAAUACCCAUCAGGAAAGACAUCACUCACAGAAGAAGCACCGGCUAACUCCGUGUCAGCAGCCGCGGUAAUACGGAGGGUGCGAGCGUUAAUCGGAAUUACUGGGCGUAAAGCGCGCGUAGGUGGCUUGAUAAGCCGGUUGUGAAAGCCCCGGGCUCAACCUGGGAACGGCAUCCGGAACUGUCAAGCUAGAGUGCAGGAGAGGAAGGUAGAAUUCCCGGUGUAGCGGUGAAAUGCGUAGAGAUCGGGAGGAAUACCAGUGGCGAAGGCGGCCUUCUGGACUGACACUGACACUGAGGUGCGAAAGCGUGGGUAGCAAACAGGAUUAGAUACCCCUGUAGUC
rnacentral:rRNA from 1 species